UAAUACAGAGGUGGCAAGCGUUGUUCGGAAUUACUGGGCGUAAAGGGCGCGUAGGCGGCCUUCUAAGUCAGACGUGAAAUCCCCCGGCUUAACCUGGGAACUGCGUCUGAUACUGGGAGGCUCGAGUAUGGGAGAGGGAUGUAGAAUUCCAGGUGUAGCGGUGAAAUGCGUAGAUAUCUGGAGGAAUACCGGUGGCGAAGGCGGCAUCCUGGACCAUAACUGACGCUGAGGCGCGAAAGCUAGGGGAGCAAACGGGAUUAGAUACCCCGGUAGUCCUAGCCCUAAACGAUGAAUACUUGGUGUGGCGGGUAUCGAUCCCUGCCGUGCCGAAGCUAACGCAUUAAGUAUUCCGCCUGGGGAGUACGGUCGCAAGGCUG
rnacentral:rRNA from 1 species